AUUGAACGCUGGCGGCAUGCUUUACACAUGCAAGUCGAACGGCAGCGCGGGCUCCGGCCUGGCGGCGAGUGGCGAACGGGUGAGUAAUGCAUCGGAACGCGCCCAGUAGUGGGGGAUAGCCCGGCGAAAGUCGGAUUAAUACCGCAUACGACCUGAGGGUGAAAGCGGGGGACCGAAAGGCCUCGCGCUAUUGGAGCGGCCGAUGUCGGAUUAGCUAGUUGGUGGGGUAAAGGCUUACCAAGGCGACGAUCCGUAGCUGGUCUGAGAGGACGACCAGCCACACUGGGACUGAGACACGGCCCAGACUCCUACGGGAGGCAGCAGUGGGGAAUUUUGGACAAUGGGGGCAACCCUGAUCCAGCCAUGCCGCGUGCGGGAAGAAGGCCUUCGGGUUGUAAACCGCUUUUGUUCGGGAAGAAAUCCUCUGGGCUAAUACCCCGGGGGGAUGACGGUACCGGAAGAAUAAGCACCGGCUAACUACGUG
rnacentral:rRNA from 1 species